rnacentral:rRNA from 1 species
AACGAACGCUGGCGGCAGGCUUAACACAUGCAAGUCGAACGCCCCGCAAGGGGAGUGGCAGACGGGUGAGUAACGCGUGGGAACAUACCCUUUCCUGCGGAAUAGCUCUGGGAAACUGGAAUUAACACCGCAUACGCCCUACGGGGGAAAGAUUUAUCGGGGAAGGAUUGGCCCGCGUUGGAUUAGCUAGUUGGUGGGGUAAAGGCCUACCAAGGCGACGAUCCAUAGCUGGUCUGAGAGGAUGAUCAGCCACAUUGGGACUGAGACACGGCCCAAACUCCUACGGGAGGCAGCAGUGGGGAAUAUUGGACAAUGGGCGCAAGCCUGAUCCAGCCAUGCCGUGUGAGUGAUGAAGGCCUUAGGGUUGUAAAGCUCUUUCACCGAUGAAGAUAAUGACGGUAGUCGGAGAAGAAGCCCCGGCUAACUUCGUGCCAGCCGCCGCCGCUGUAA